ensembl:lncRNA
AUCUUGCUGGGGAUUCCUGACUACCUGAGGCCUUCCAAAGAAAGCGGUUGCUGGCUGCCCACGCAGAUAUUGUGUGAUCUAUGACCGUGAGAUCAGGCUAAAGGAGGAAUUCUGUUUGGAGCCUCUAAAAUAGAGUUUGGGGAAGCUAAAACCAGCUUACAUAGAUGACUUGCUCAAAUACAGCCAAACGAACUUACACUUCAGCUAACAUGCACAGUGUGUAAGAAUGGUACCUGGACACGUCAGCAGUGUGGUUCAGUCUUCAAGCAACAAACCCUCAGCUGGAAUAAAGGACUUUGAUUUUACCCAUACAUUUGAAUGAAGUUAGGACCUGGCCUGCAGUGUUGGUGUAUUGUUGACAGACAGUAGCUUUCAAAAAAGUUUUCCCUCAGUACUUUUCCCCCUUCACUGUCAAUCCAGAGCUGCAGAAAGCUUAUUUAAAGCUCAUUUCAGCCCAGCAUGUGCAUGCGGUGUGCGCUGAGCAAUGGUGAGUCAUGUUCAGCUUGAUAAGGAAAUGAAUGAAAAUCCCUACAAUGUAAAGAGACUCCGUGUUCCCAUGUCUAGACUAUGCAUGCUGUGUUGGAAUACUCUAAUUUCCAAGUUCCCAUGUUGUCUCAGUCAAGUGGGCCUGUUUUCCCUGCAAAUGGCAAGUAAUUUUCCUGUAUUUCAGGAUGAUGCUCUGCUAACAUGGAAGUUUCUCACUUUGCUGUUCAGGUCAAAGAGAUUUCAUAUGUUCUAUAGCUAGUGUAUAUAAACCUGAAGAGGACUUACCAGUUGUCCCAGUGUCUCAGAAUAGGAAAGAAUCUGUCAAGACUUUUAUGCUGUUACAAGUAUCCAUGUGCUUGUAAGACCUUGGGCCGUAGUGCUCUGUGACUUGCAAGAAGAUGCUGAACUGGGAAAAACGAUGUUGUCCCACUUCCAAUGCUGAAAAAGAUGCUUUCAGAUUCCAAGUUGAAGAUGACAAUGUUUAGUGUGAAACUGGUGACAAGAAGUACCAGCUGACUUCUGAACUGGGUAAGAAUAAUUAAGUGCUGUGUAUUGGCCUGCACGUGCAUUUCAGCUUUCAUGCUUCGAAGGGGCAGCACGUUUUUGCAUUGAUAAACAGCCUAGUAUUAAUUCAGAACAUACU